UACGGGGGGGGCAAGCGUUGUUCGGAAUUACUGGGCGUAAAGGGCUCGUAGGCGGCCAACUAAGUCGGAUGUGAAAUCCCCAGGCUUAGCCUGGGAAUUGCAUCCGAUACUGGAUGGCUUGAAUCCGGGAGAGGGAUGCGGAAUUCCAGGUGUAGCGGUGAAAUGCGUAGAUAUCUGGAGGAACACCGGUGGCGAAGGCGGCAUCCUGGACCGGCAUUGACGCUGAGGAGCGAAAGCCAGGGGAGCAAACGGG
rnacentral:rRNA from 1 species